rnacentral:rRNA from 1 species
UACCUGCAGCCCAAGUGGUGGUCGAUUUUAUUGAGUCUAAAACGUUCGUAGCCGGUCUGAUAAAUCCUUGGGUAAAUCGGAAAGCUUAACUUUCCGAAUUCCGAGGAGACUGUCAGACUUGGGACCGGGAGAGGCUAGAGGUACUUCUGGGGUAGGGGUAAAAUCCUGUAAUCCUAGAAGGACCACCGGUGGCGAAGGCGUCUCACUAGAACGAAUCCGACGGUGAGGGACGAAGCCCUGGGGCGCAAAC